GGGCCUGUGGUGAAACGGUAUCACACUCGCUUGGCGUGCGGGAAUCUCCGGGUUCAAAUCCCGGCAGGUCCA
rnacentral:tRNA from 1 species